CUUGUGGCACAGUGGGAGGAAGGAACCUGGUGGGGAGACUGCCGCAGUUCCUGCCAACAUCGGUUGGUGAAGAACCACCAGCCCUUUCAUUUGGCAGCUUGUGAGAUUACCCAGGGCUUGAGGACUGUGUCAAGACCCGAUUUACAUCCAUGCCCCUCUGGAGUAGAGGCAGCUCAGGGAAAGGAAUGGAAGAGACUAGAGCCUUUUUCCUCGUUGGGCGACUGAAGGCAAGAUGGGUCACCAGCAGCUCUACUGGAGUCCCCCACAGAAGUCGGGCCAGGGUUCUCACUCUAACCGCCAUGGUCUGAUCCGCAAAUAAGGGCUGAACAUGUGCCAUCAGCGCUUCUAUUGCUGAUGAUACGCCGUGACCCGUUCCACGAGGCUCCUGGUGGCUAAGAUAUCACUUUCCCACUUGUGGAAAGUAGCAGCAUCCGCUGCUAUGAGAAGGCACAAAGGGGACCUUCCCCUUGUUUCUGACCCUCACCUCCAGGUGAGAAAAACCCAGGCUGCAGGAAGAAAGGGGUCCUCCCUGUCUCCACUGCCAACUCUCAAGGAUGACCCAUGUUCCUGGAUCUGUCCUAAGUUCUGAACUCCUUGCCAAAAUAGCAUCCAAAAUGACAGGCACGAAUGCUGACACCGGUGUGGACUGGGGACACAGACUUCAGUCCACUGACAACGGCUUUAUCAUCUAUGACAAGGACUUCCAACACUACGGUGCCAUCAGAGACCCCAGGCACAGGUGACCUGGGAGCAUCACAGAGUUGGGUCCAGUGAGUGUUUUCGGGGGGCCUUUGCCUUCCCUCAUAAGGCAGGAGUGUCACCACCUCAAUACUUAUGUGUGAGCACGCCAAAGGGUGACAGUGGGUGUCUGCCUCUUCUGCUCUCUUUUAUUCACGACAGGGUCUCUCGCUGACUCUAUCACAUACCAGCUAACUGGCAAGACUGGGAGCCAGCAAGCUGCAAGGAUCCACCUGCCUCACACAUGCACCACGACUAACGUUAUACGUGCUGUGUACUCCCAGCUUUAAAAUAAAAACAGGAUGCUUGGAUCCCAACUCAAGUCAUCAUGCAGGCACUUUUCCAACCGAGCCUUCUCCUAAGCCCAGGGCUGACAUUUUAUAGUCAACAGUAGAAACAAAAGACCUAGCAGAGAUAGAUAGCACCCAGCUGCAAUCCCUGCUCCCGUUACAUAGAAGGGCCAGGAGUUCAAGGUCCUCCUCAGCUACAUAGUUAGCUUGUAGUCUACUCAAGCUACAUAAGGCCCCAUAUCAAAAAGAAGCAAAACAAACAAACAAAAAAGACCUCCAUCCCAGCCCUCCAGGGCUGCCUUUGCUACACAGCUGUGUGUCUUUAGGCAAAUCACACCUUUCCGAUUUAGCCUCAGGACCUUCAUCUGUGCAGUGAGCUCGACAAUGGUUGCCCUCCCUCUGCUAAUCUAACAAACUCCUAUCAAAGAUUAAAUAUGUAACUGUUGUGAACUUCAGAGGACGGCGCACCGCCAGCAAGAGAUUCUGCAUGUAAGCCUAAGGAGACCGGGGACUGAGCCAGGCCCAGGCACUGGGCACAGAGCGAAGCGGGCGGGUAGAAUGAACAUGCAGAUCUGGCAGGCUGCGCAGGUGGAAAGAACUGGCUGCCAACAAACACCGGAAGAGAAGGAAAGAUUCAUGCCAGGGAAAUGGGUAUAAUGAACGAGGAAUUCAGACCAACACUCAGAACAGCCUACCUCACUGUGUAAGAAUGGAGGAGCUAGUGAGAACUUCUCCGGCGUUCCCAAGUCCUGUCCCCCAGCACAGUGUUAAUAUAAAAUUUCGUGUCCUCAAAUAAACCAAAGUCCCUCACA